GAAAAUACAGUUUACAUUAUUAGAAAUAAAUUUAUAUGCAAAACUAUUUCACAAAAUAUAAUUUUAAUUUAGCAAGAAAGAAACAAGAACAAUAGAUCACUGUUAAAAAAAGAUCAAAAACCAUUUUUGUCGCAAAGUGGGCAACUACAUUUCAUCACGAAGCACUGCCACAAAAGAAGAAUUAAAAUGUAUUAUAAAAUCAUAAUUUAUUAUUACUAUUGAGCAACAUUUACUACAUUCAGAUUAAGAGACAAUUUCCAAUAAACAGUUAAGAAGUUUACAAUCUCAUAACUGAGAAAUGGUCAGAAAAUACGCUGUAAAAAAUUAAUUUUUUUGCACAAUAAUGUUACAAAUCCUCAACCAUACAGUCCUAUUAUAAAAUUUACAGUUAAAUUUGACUGCCUUUGCACGAUAAUUGUACUGCUAUAAGUAUGAUAAACUGUAAUAUUGAUUUAUUGAAACGUGUUAAGACGAUGCAUAAAUGAUCAAUUUUACAAAAACCAUCUGCCAAAC